rnacentral:other from 1 species
UUUAAUCUGCAAUAUUCGUGAUCUAUUUUUGAAAUAGAACUAAAUUCAAAAAGGGAAUCGAGCCAUUUGUGGCACCCACGCCAAUACCCAUUGGACAGGUAAAACUUAAAAGGUAGAUACCCACCUUAGUAAAGGUUCUCGUUUUUCAAAAGGACACGGUAUUGUGGAUUUCCA